UACAGAGGGUGCUAGCGUUGUCCGGAAUUAUUGGGCGUAAAGAGCUUGUAGGCGGUUUGUCGCGUCUGCUGUGAAAUUUCGGGGCUCAACCCCGAACUUGCAGUGGGUACGGGCAGACUAGAGUGUGGUAGGGGAGACUGGAAUUCCUGGUGUAGCGGUGAAAUGCGCAGAUAUCAGGAGGAACACCGAUGGCGAAGGCAGGUCUCUGGGCCAUAACUGACGCUGAGAAGCGAAAGCAUGGGGAGCGAACAGG
rnacentral:rRNA from 1 species